rnacentral:rRNA from 1 species
UACGAAGGGAGCUAGCGUUGUUCGGAAUCACUGGGCGUAAAGGGUGCGUAGGCGGGUCUUUUAAGUCAGGGGGUGAAAUCCUGGAGCUCAACUCCAGAACUGCCUUUGAUACUGAAGAUCUUGAGUUCGGGAGAGGUGAGUGGAACUGCGAGUGUAGAGGUGAAAUUCGUAGAUAUUCGCAAGAACACCAGUGGCGAAGGCGGCUCACUGGCCCGAUACUGACGCUGAGGCACGAAAGCGUGGGGAGCAAACAGG